AAAAAAGGUAAGCUACUAAGAGCGAAUGGUGGAUGCCUUGACUGGUAAAGGCGAUGAAGGACGUACUAGACUGCGAUAAGCUACGGGGAGCUGUCAAGAAGCUUUGAUCCGUAGAUUUCCGAAUGGGGCAACCCAAUGUAUAGAGAUAUACAUUACCUAUAUAGGAGCGAACGAGGGGAAUUGAAACAUCUUAGUACCCUCAGGAAAAGAAAUCAAUAGAGAUUGCGUCAGUAGCGGCGAGCGAAAGCGCAAGAGGGCAAACCCAGUGCUUGCACUGGGGGUUGUAGGACUGCAAUGUGCAAGAGGUGAGUUUAGCAGAACAUUCUGGAAAGUAUAGCCAUAGAGGGUGAUAGUCCCGUAUGCGAAAAACAAACCUUAGCUAGCAGUAUCCUGAGUAGGGCGGGACACGAGAAAUCCUGUCUGAAGCUGGGUCGACCACGAUCCAACCCUAAAUACUAAUACCAGAUCGAUAGUGCACAAGUACCGUGAGGGAAAGGUGAAAAGAACUGAGGUGAUCAGAGUGAAAUAGAACCUGAAACCAUUUGCUUACAAUCAUUCAGAGCCCUAUGUAGCAAUACAGGGUGAUGGACUGCCUUUUGCAUAAUGAGCCUGCGAGUUGUGGUGUCUGGCAAGGUUAAGCAAACGCGAAGCCGUAGCGAAAGCGAGUCUGAAUAGGGCGCUUAGUCAGAUGCUGCAGACCCGAAACGAAGUGAUCUAUCCAUGAGCAAGUUGAAGCUAGUGUAAGAACUAGUGGAGGACUGAACCCAUAGGCGUUGAAAAGCCCCGGGAUGACUUGUGGAUAGGGGUGAAAGGCCAAUCAAACUUCGUGAUAGCUGGUUCUCUCCGAAAUAUAUUUAGGUAUAGCGUUGUGUCGUAAUAUAAGGGGGUAGAGCACUGAAUGGGCUAGGGCAUACACCAAUGUACCAAACCCUAUCAAACUCCGAAUACCUUAUAUGUAAUCACAGCAGUCAGGCGGCGAGUGAUAAAAUCCGUCGUCAAGAGGGAAACAACCCAGACUACCAGCUAAGGUCCCUAAAUCUUACUUAAGUGGAAAACGAUGUGAAGUUACUUAAACAACCAGGAGGUUGGCUUAGAAGCAGCCAUCCUUUAAAGAAAGCGUAAUAGCUCACUGGUCUAGUGAUUUUGCGCGGAAAAUAUAACGGGGCUAAAGUAAGUACCGAAGCUGUAGACUUGCGCACAACUUAGAUUAUUUAAGUUUAGAAUAUGAGAAACUAAGUUAUAUGUUUAGUUAUAUUUUUACUGAUUUUUAUAGAGUAAAGAUAGAAAUAAAACUUAGUAAAAUCAGUAAAAAUAUUCUUAGACUAAAGUUAAGUAGUUUAAGUUGUGUGCAAGUGGUAGGAGAGCGUUCUAUUUGCGUCGAAGGUAUACCGGUAAGGAGUGCUGGAGCGAAUAGAAGUGAGCAUGCAGGCAUGAGUAGCGAUAAUUAAUGUGAGAAUCAUUAACGCCGUAAACCCAAGGUUUCCUACGCGAUGCUCGUCAUCGUAGGGUUAGUCGGGUCCUAAGUCGAGUCCGAAAGGGGUAGACGAUGGCAAAUUGGUUAAUAUUCCAAUACCAACAUUAGUGUGCGAUGGAAGGACGCUUAGGGCUAAGGGGGCUAGCGGAUGGAAGUGCUAGUCUAAGGUCGUAGGAGGUUAUACAGGCAAAUCCGUAUAACAAUACUCCGAGAACUGAAAGGCUUUUUGAAGUCUUCGGAUGGAUAGAAGAACCCCUGAUGCCGUCGAGCCAAGAAAAGUUUCUAAGUUUAGCUAAUGUUGCCCGUACCGUAAACCGACACAGGUGGGUGGGAUGAGUAUUCUAAGGCGCGUGGAAGAACUCUCUUUAAGGAACUCUGCAAAAUAGCACCGUAUCUUCGGUAUAAGGUGUGGUUCGCUUCGUAUUAGGAUUUACUCCGAAAGCGAAGAAACUUACAACAAAGAGUCCCUCCCGACUGUUUACCAAAAACACAGCACUCUGCUAACUCGUAAGAGGAUGUAUAGGGUGUGACGCCUGCCCGGUGCUCGAAGGUUAAUUGAUGGGGUUAGCAUUAGCGAAGCUCUUGAUCGAAGCCCGAGUAAACGGCGGCCGUAACUAUAACGGUCCUAAGGUAGCGAAAUUCCUUGUCGGUUAAAUACCGACCUGCAUGAAUGGCGUAACGAGAUGGGAGCUGUCUCAAAGAGGGAUCCAGUGAAAUUGUAGUGGAGGUGAAAAUUCCUCCUACCCGCGGCAAGACGGAAAGACCCCGUGGACCUUUACUAC
rnacentral:rRNA from 1 species